rnacentral:rRNA from 1 species
CCCAUAAAACUAUUCUCAGUUCGGAUUGUAGGCUGCAACUCGCCUACAUGAAGCCGGAAUCGCUAGUAAUCGUGGAUCAGCAUGCCACGGUGAAUACGUUCCCGGGCCUUGUACACACCGCCCGUCACACCACGAGAGUUUGUAACACCCGAAGUCGGUAGGGUAACCUUUAUGGAGCCAGCCGCCGAAGGUGGGACAGAUAAUUGGGGUGAAGUCGUAACAAGGUAGCCGUAUCGGAAGGUGCGGCUGGAUCACCU